UAGCAAAGACAUUGCCUGUUGUGCUGACAAAAUAGCAGGUAAUUUCUGCCCACUGCAAUUUGUUAAGGGCUGCAGUAUUUUGACUGUAUAAAGGUAGCAUAAUCAUUAGCUUUUUAAUUGGGGGCUGGUAUGAAGGGGGAACCAGGGGAACAGUGUGUUUAUAAAAGGUAUUGAAUUUUAUGGUUUUGUGAAAAAUCGAAGAUUAGUUUAAGGGACAAGAAGACCCUAUUUAAGUUUUAUUGUUGGUGGUGAAAAGCAUAGAGGGUUAAAUUUUAUAAUUAGUGUGAUUUGAAAUUAAUUGUUUAGCUGGGGCGGUAAGUUUAAUAUACAAAGUUUUAAUUUUAAUUAAGGGUUGCGGCUUAAGGACCUAAAUAGGUUAAUUGAAUGGAAAAUUACUUUAGGGAUAACAGCGUUAUUAUUUUUAAGAGUUCUAAUUGACAGAAUAGUUUGCGACCUCCAUGUUGGAUUAAAAUUAACGUUGGUGCAUAAGUCAGCGUUUUCGGUCUGUUCGACCGGUAGGAACCGG
rnacentral:rRNA from 1 species